rnacentral:rRNA from 1 species
UGUUGCUUCGGCGCGCCCGCCUCACGGCCGCCGGGGGGCAUCCGCCCCCGGGCCCGCGCCCGCCGAAGACACCAUUGAACUCUUGUCUGAAGAUUGCAGUCUGAGUAGAUUAGCUAAAUCAGUUAAAACUUUCAACAACGGAUCUCUUGGUUCCGGCAUCGAUGAAGAACGCAGCGAAAUGCGAUAAGUAAUGUGAAUUGCAGAAUUCAGUGAAUCAUCGAGUCUUUGAACGCACAUUGCGCCCCCUGGUAUUCCGGGGGGCAUGCCUGUCCGAGCGUCAUUGCUGCCCUCAAGCACGGCUUGUGUGUUGGGCUUCGCCCCCCGUUCAUCGGGGGGCGGGCCCGAAAGGCAGCGGCGGCACCGCGUCCGGUCCUCGAGCGUAUGGGGCUUUGUCACCCGCUCUGUAGGCCCGGCCGGCGCCCGCCGGCGACACCCAAAUCAAUCUAUCCAGGUUGACCUCGGAUCAGGUAGGGAUACCCGCUGAA